rnacentral:tRNA from 1 species
CCGACGUGUGGCCGGGCGGGUUGGGCAGCUCGUCGGGGGAGCUCGGGCACAACCUGAUGGACCACCACUUCCGCUGCGGCGCGUCGGGCCA